CCCUAUGGCUGCCCUAUGUGUGCCCUAUGGCUGCCCCAUAGCUGCCAUUGCCCCGCAGGUGUCAGCAGUGCGUGAGGAGGUUCCUAUUGGCUGCCCUAUAGCUGCCCUAUGGGGUCCCCCAUGCUGUGCCCUAUGUGUGCCCUAUGUGUGCCCUAUGGCUGCCCUAUGGGGUCCCCCAUGCUGUGCCCUAUGGCUGCCCUAUGUGCUGCCCUAUGGCUGCCCUAUGGCUGCCCUAUGGGGUCCCCCAUGCUGUGCCCUAUGG
ensembl:lncRNA